GUUCUAGCUCUCCCAUAGCCUUUGAUCCAUUCUGAGUUAAUUUUUAUAUAUUGUGUGAGGUAGGAAUACAACUUCAUUCUUUGGCAUGUAGAUAUCCAGCUGUCCUAGCCCCAUUUGUUG